rnacentral:rRNA from 1 species
CAAUAGCGUAUAUUAAAGUUGUUGCAGUUAAAAAGCUCGUAGUUGGAUUUCUGGUAGGAGUGACCGUUCCGAACUUGAUUGUUCGUGUAUUGUGUUUUCUUCAGCCAUCCUUGUGGAGAACUUUUCUUGCAUUAAUUUGUAGGGAUUGGGACCCGCAUCGUUUACUGUGAAAAAAUUAGAGUGUUUAAAGCAGGCAAUCGCUUGAAUACAUUAGCAUGGAAUAAUAAGAUAGGACUUUGGUACUAUUUUGUUGGUUUGCAUACCAAAUUAAUGAUCAACAGGAACAGUUUGAGGAUAUUCGUAUGAACAUGUCAGAGGUGAAAUUCUUGGAUUUUGAUCAGACGAACUACUGCGAAAGCAUUUAGCAAGGAUGUUUUCAUUAA